ensembl:lncRNA
CGCAAACAGAAACCGCGAGCUGCACGUGCACCUGCAUAGCGCAGACCACGAGCUCCUCGCGACAUUCACUUCAAACCAGUCGGUCUUAAUAGAGAACAUUUCUCCCUCUUCUUGCCCCCUUUGAGCAGCUAAACUAAAGAGAUAAGCUCCUCUGAUGCAUCAGUAGCGGACGAUAUUCCUUUAAUCGCAGCACUAAAGCGUCUCCUAAGCAAAGAGGUUGAGACGGACCGCGUUAUAAAGAUCAUUACUUGAAUGCGGAAAUAAAGCAGCGCGCACGAGAAAUGAUCCAGGCCGCUAGGGAUGCGGAGACGGAGCAGCGCACGGAGAAGGAGAUCAGAGAGCAGAAAAAAAGACUCGUCUCUCUGCACUCUCGUUGUCUGAUAUAUAAUGAAGUUGACGGAGAAGCAGUGGACUAUGGAUUGACUGAGAGGAUUAUUUCAUGCCUCUUUGAAGGAUCGUUUAAGAAGCAAGCCAAAUUCAACCGAUUUGUUCAGCAGUUCUAAACAUACACACAGAUUGGGCAUUAUGUGGAAAACUAUUAAUUCCUCUUUCUUUCUGUCAUCACUAUUACGCCUACUUGGUGAAAUAUGAACAGGACUGGACUGUCCUUGACCCUUUUGAGGUGAUGGAUUUUCAUGCUUUGGAUACAUACUGUGUCGAUGAUAAACUGUUUGUUAGUAUGCGGCAUUUAUGUUAAGCUGUGUUGGGAGGGUUGUAGAGCGUUGUGGAUGAGCUCAAAGCUUGUGUUUUUUAAUCCAGAACACAUCAAGUGUCAUGUAGUUUAUCCGUUAAGUGACUCUCUUUACUUUGGUGUGGUGUGCUAAAGUGUUUUGCUUGGUCUUUGAUAAUAAACAUGUUUUUCUGCACUAUAUUGCUGUUCUUAUUAGUGAUGUUCAUGAAAUUGAAAGAAGGAAAAUAUAAAUGGUUCCAUUGUAUUUAUUCCCUGCUAUGCAUCUAUUCUCUGAUAUCGCUGUUCAUUUUGUUUUUGGAGUGGCAGUAAGUUGUCAGUUGGUCAGUGAAAUGCUUCUUAAAAAAUGUAAUCAAUUAUUUUUAAUGUUUUUUAUAUCAGACAUGACAUCCUAAACAUUGUGGCAUUUUAUUUUGGGAUGUUACAUUGUAUGGUUGUGAGAUGAAUUAUUAUUGAAUCGGUGAAUUCAACUGUUUUCCAUUUAAGGACUAAAAUAAAUGUCUAAAAUUCA